rnacentral:rRNA from 1 species
GACGAACGCUGGCGGCGUGCUUAACACAUGCAAGUCGAACGGAAAGGCCCUGCUUUUGUACGGUGCUCGAGUGGCGCACGGGUGUGUAACACGUGAGUAACCUUCCCUUGACUUUGGGAUAACUUCAGGAAACUGGGGCUAAUACCCGCUAGGAGCUCCUGCUUCAUAGUGUUUGUUGGAAAGUUUCGGCGGUUGGGGAUGGACUCGCGGCUUAUCAGCUUGUUGGUGGGGUAGUGGCUUACCAAGGCUUUGACGGGUAGCCGGCCUGAGAGGGUGACCGGCCACAUUGGGACGGAGAUACGGCCCAGACUCCAACGGGAGGCAGGAGUGGGGAAUAGUGUACAAUGGGCGGAACGCUGAUUCAGCAACGCCGCGUGGGGGAUAACGGCCUGCGGGUUGUAAUCCGCUUUCGCCUGUGACGAAGCGUGAGUGACGGUAAUGUGUAAAGAAGCACCGGCUAACUACGUG